GAUGAAGAACGUAGUGAAAUGCGAUAAGUAAUGUGAAUUGCAGAAUUCAGUGAAUCAUCGAAUCUUUGAACGCACCUUGCACUCCUUGGUAUUCCGAGGAGUAUGCUUGUUUGAGAGUAAUGUAAUCAUCAAUCCUCCUUUACUUUUGUGAAGUUGGCUUGGAUUUGGGGAUUGCUGGCCUUUCAUUAGGUCCUGGCUUCCCUUGAAUGCAUUAGUUGAAUCAAGUUACAACGUUACGUGUGGUGUGAUAAUAUCUUCACUGCAUAGUUGUAAUGAAGUUUGGCUUCUAACAGUCCUUCACUGGACAAUACUUUGAACAAUGUACCUCAAAUCAAGUAGGACUACCCGCUGAACUUAAGCAUACAAUAAGCGGAGGA
rnacentral:misc_RNA from 1 species